AAAGUGUGAUCGUGGAAUCAUGGC
rnacentral:siRNA from 1 species